UGAGUUUACGCUCUACAACCCUUUGUGAACAUACCUAUAACUGUUGCUUCGGCGGGUAGGGUCUCCGUGACCCUCCCGGCCUCCCGCCCCCGGGCGGGUCGGCGCCCGCCGGAGGAUAACCAAACUCUGAUUUAACGACGUUUCUUCUGAGUGGUACAAGCAAAUAAUCAAAACUUUUAACAACGGAUCUCUUGGUUCUGGCAUCGAUGAAGAACGCAGCGAAAUGCGAUAAGUAAUGUGAAUUGCAGAAUUCAGUGAAUCAUCGAAUCUUUGAACGCACAUUGCGCCCGCCAGCAUUCUGGCGGGCAUGCCUGUUCGAGCGUCAUUUCAACCCUCAAGCUCUGCUUGGUGUUGGGGCCCUACAGCUGAUGUAGGCCCUCAAAGGUAGUGGCGGACCCUCCCGGAGCCUCCUUUGCGUAGUAACUUUACGUCUCGCACUGGGAUCCGGAGGGACUCUUGCCGUAAAACCCCCAAUUUUCCAAAGGUUGACCUCGGAUCAGGUAGGAAUACCCGCUGAACUUAAGCAUAUCAAUAAGCGGAGGAAAAGAAACCAACAGGGAUUGCCUCAGUAACGGCGAGUGAAGCGGCAACAGCUCAAAUUUGAAAUCUGGCCCUAGGCCCGAGUUGUAAUUUGCAGAGGAUGCUUUUGGUGCGGUGCCUUCCAAGUUCCCUAGAACGGGACGCCAGAGAGGGUGAGAGCCCCGUACAGUUGGACACCAAGCCUUUGUAAAGCUCCUUCGACGAGUCGAGUAGUUUGGGAAUGCUGCUCAAAAUGGGAGGUAUAUUUCUUCUAAAGCUAAAUACCGGCCAGAGACCGAUAGCGCACAAGUAGAGUGAUCGAAAGAUGAAAAGCACUUUGAAAAGAGGGUUAAACAGCACGUGAAAUUGUUAAAAGGGAAGCGCUUGUGACCAGACUUGCGUCCGGUGAAUCACCCAGCUCUCGCGGCUGGGGCACUUCGCCGGCUCAGGCCAGCAUCAGCUCGCUGUCGGGGACAAAAGCUUCAGGAACGUAGCUCUCUUCGGGGAGUGUUAUAGCCUGUUGCAUAAUACCCUUCGGCGGGCGAGGUACGC
rnacentral:misc_RNA from 1 species